UACCAGAGUAAUCCUGAAUCAUCCUGAUUUGUCAAAAGACUACAUAGAACAGUCUUGAGGUGGAAACUGGUGGAUCACUUGAAGAGGAAACUGUUAAAGCACAGAGACAUGUACCAAAGAACAACAAGACAUGAUUGUUGCAGCAUAUCUUGAACAGCCUGGCAUAGUGUUUACUAACAACACCACCUCAACAGAACUUCAAGAUAAAGAAAAUUUACGUAAUGAGAACCUCAAUAAAGAAGAUAGAAAAAGAUCAAUGGUUUUAGUUUUCAAUGUAGAAGCUGAUGUCACAAAUGUCUUUACUUAGUCAGGGAGUCCAGAAACAAGUUUUGAUUCUUUAAAAUUGAAAGUGACUUUUUGUAUAAUCAUUCAUUUCUUGUAUCUGGAUUAAUUGACUAAGUAAGA